rnacentral:rRNA from 1 species
AACGAACGCUGGCGGCGUGGAUAAGACAUGCAAGUCGGACGAGAUUUUUCGUUGUAGCAAUACGAUGGAAAGUCUAGUGGCGAACGGGUGCUUAACACGUGGGCAACCUGCCAUGAAGUGGGGGACAGCUCGCCGAAAGGCGAAUUAAUACCGCAUGUGAUUAGAGAGGACAUCCUUUCGAAAUUAAAGUCGGGGCAACCUGACGCUUCUUGUAGGGCCCGCGGCCUAUCAGCUAGUUGGUGAGGUAACGGCUCACCAAGGCUUUGACGGGUAGCUGGUCUGAGAGGACGACCAGCCACACUGGGACUGAGACACGGCCCAGACACCUACGGGUGGCAGCAGUCGAGAAUUUUUGACAAUGGGGGAAACCCUGAUCGAGCGACGCCGCGUGGAGGAUGAAGGUCUUCGGAUUGUAAACUCCUGUCAUUGGGGAACAAUGCACAGAUAUUAACUGUAUUUGUGUUGAUAGUACCCGAAGAGGAAGAGACGGCUAACUCUGUGCCAGCCGCCGCGGUAAGAC